rnacentral:misc_RNA from 1 species
ACUUUUUUAAAAAAAAAAAAAAAUCUAAGAGACAAAGACACAAUUAUAUCCUCUGAGAAAUUCAUGAUUUAUUCAUAAUUAACUUAUUGCUAAAAUAUUUCAACUGCUAUAUAUUUUCUGAGCAUCAUCACAGUGGACUGUUUUAAUCAAGUUCUCAGAACAGAACAAAUAAACUAUGCAAUUUCUGAUUGUGAGCGUGAACCUGAAUUCAUUCCUCCCUUCAUAUUUCACAUUGAAGAAUUAGUGAGAAGUUGACCAAUACUUUUUCGAAUCAUAGUUACUUUAAGGUUCUUUAUUCAGUCCAAAGUACUGCAAUGCCUUUACAUAUUCUCAUCUUAUACCUCUCACAAGUUGUAGAAGUUGUUUCAAUGUCAUAAUGCAACUAACUUGUUACGUAACAGAGGUGGCGAUUGGAAGACUGG